AGGGAUUGAACUUGGGUCCUUGCAUUUGUGAGAAGUACCUCCACUCCCACUCCAACUGACACCAUCGAAGUUAACAACACUGUUGACCACUAAAAUGAAAGCUGGCGAGUUGACAGAAGUAAUGUGGAGAUUGUCUCAACACACUUCCUCCCCCUUCUCUCUCGUUUUAUUUUUGGCAUAAUCUCUGGUACUACAAUUUUAUACAGAGUGCAACAUCCUGUGCUACACUUGGUUUGGACUUUAGUUUUGUAUCUUGGAGUAAAUUCAACGAGAACAAGCAGGACUGACCUGAUUUGCAUCCUCACUGGCAGCAUCUGGGAGAAAAAUGCAGAAACCAGAGUUA